AGAAGUAGGAAAGGAUAACUUCAAUACCUACUAAAUAUCUUUGUAUCUUUCCUAUAUCUUUUCAUUUGCAUAGAAAUCAUUUGUACUGUUUAUAUGGAAUCAUAAAAUAGCUGUGUCUAAGGCAUGCUGCAACUGAUCCUGUUAAUAAGUAUUGUGUUGAGGAGGUGGAAAAGAAAACAAGUCCAAACUUCUGGUGACAUGACAAAUGAUGGGAUGUGCUGCCCAUGCCUCAGAUGAUGGUGCUCCCCUUCAUACAAAGGAGCUCUUCUGGUUCAGUGAGACUAAUGUGGCACUUAUUGCCUACUGGCAGAUGCAACAUAUUCAGGUCACACGAGUUUAUUCAGCACGGAGAUGACUUUUGAGUGAGAAUGCUCAAGAAUUAGAACCAGGGAACUUCUGUGGAUUUCUUCUACCAGAAUAUGGACAUACAGACCCUGGUAGCUGAUGUAAUGACAGGCUGAACUUAGCUAAUUUAUGGAAGCGGUGUUAUGGAUGGUUCCAGGAAAGAUGUUGCCUUUUGGUAUGAUUGUUUUUCUUUUCUUGCCUGGGAGAGUCUCCAAGUGAACUG
rnacentral:lncRNA from 1 species